AUUGAACGCUGGCGGCAUGCCUAACACAUGCAAGUCGAGCGAGCGGCGGACGGGUGAGUAAUGUCUGGGAAACUGCCUGAUGGAGGGGGAUAACUACUGGAAACGGUAGCUAAUACCGCAUACCAUCAGAUGUGCCCCGAUGGGAUUAGCUAGUGGGUGGGGUACUGGCUCACCUCGGCGAAGCUCCCUAGCGGGUCUCAGAGGAUGAUCAGCCACACUGGGACUGAGACACGGUCCAGACUCCUACGGGAGGCAGCCGUGGGGAAUAUUGGACAAUGGGCGCAAGCCUGAUACAGCCAUGCCGCGUGUGUGAAGAAGGCCUUCGGGUUGUAAAGCACUUGCGGCGGAGAGGCGUUACCCGCAGAAGAAGCACCGGCUAACUCCGUGCCAGCAGCCGCGGUAAUAC
rnacentral:rRNA from 1 species